UCUGGUUCUCAAUUUUCAAUAAAAAAAAAUCUAAAUAGCAUCAGUUUGGUUUAGUUUCAUAUAAAAAUAUAAAGGUUAAACCACUUCAGAGGUCCUUACUUUCACGUUUUUUCCUAAUUUAGUCCCCGAUUUAUUUUUUUUGCCAAUUAAGUCCCAAAGAUUGCAAAAUUGAAAGAAAUUAACCCUUACCGUUAAAUCAAGUUAAUAGGGUUAAGUUUAAGCUUAGUUGUGCGGAUGAGGUGGAAAGAUAUCUUUACGUGGCAUCUUCUAAACCUUUUAAUAUUUGUUUUAUUAUGUAUAUGUGGCAAUGUUUUAAACAAUAAAAAUAUUUUUUAUUGUAUAUCCUUCGUUGCGUCCAGUUUUCUUCUUCCUCUGCAUCUCCACCAUUGCUACCGCUGCUUGUCGCGCCUCCCCCGCCGCUGUUCGUGGCCUCCAACGGUGGAGGGUUUGAGAGAGAGAGGAAGGUUAUUGGAUUUGGCUCCAACGGGCUUGCCCGUUGGCAUUAGAUCUUCAUCGUCUUGAAAGAGUGCUCCUGAAGCUGAAAGGUGGGGGGUAUUGUUUCUUGAAAUAUCCUGUUUUCUCUUAAAUUGAUUGAUUAAAUGUCGCUUGCAAGUAAAUACCUUGUUUUCUCUUAAAUUGAUUGGUCUUUGUUUUAGGGCAUGGGUGUGAUUGUUCUGUUUUCCAAUUUUUUUUAUUUUUUAUUUUUUAUUUUUUAUUUUUUUUAUCUUGGGUUGUUAGAACUUGAGCGUGUGUGUUGUGGUGGCAGUGGGAAAAAUUAAAGGUGAGGUUGGAUAUUCCGACGAUGUACAAGAAGAUUUCUCGGAGAGAUGAAGGCAAUAUCGCAAGCCACCGUCAGUGCCUUGCCACCUCUACAGCAGAGCGAAACGCGCCACCACCCAGAGCCUUUUCUUCACGCCACAAGCAGCGUCAUCCAAACCUCCACCACGAGUUCUCCCCUUAUCCAGAAAAGCAAUCAGCAACGAACAAUUGCACCUCUGCCACGACACAGAAGCGAUCCAGUGUCCCCAUAAACGCAAUCAGCAACGAACAAUCGCAAAUCAUAUUUUCUCCUUAGUGGUUCUUAAUCUGCAAACCCAAAAAAUCAACACAGUUCAUCCCAAAAUCAGAAAUAGAAACCCUAGAAUCGCGUGACCCCAAUUCGCGCCUUCACCUUCCCUAAAUCGUUAACUCCUAUGCCUUCUACGCCUUCCACCUGCAUCAGAAAACAGAAACCACGAAGAAUCCUAAACACAAAACCCCAUUCGUAAAAAUCUCAAAUUGCAGAAACCCAGAACAGUGUGCCUUCUCCUUGCACCUCUUCGGACCAGAACAGUGUGCCUUAUUCCCAUAAAAAACUUAUUUUUUAUUUAAAAAAAUUCCAGGUAAUAAAAUAUUUUUACGUCAGCGUGAACCACGUCAUCACAGGUAAGGUGAAACUUAACUUCGUUAACUUCAUUUGAUGGUAAGGGUCAAUUUCUUUCAACUUUUCACUCUUAGGAACUUAAUUGGCAAAAAGAAAUAAGUCGGGGACUAAAUUGGGAAAAAAACGUGAAAAUAGGGACUUCUGAAAUGGUUUAACCAAAUAUAAAAAUAAUGUUGAUGGAUUUUCAAUUUUUUUUAUUGAUUUUUUAUUUUUUAUAGACUAAUUUUUAAUACUCCUG
rnacentral:lncRNA from 1 species